GACGUAGGGUGCGAGCGUUGUCCGGAUUUAUUGGGCGUAAAGAGCUCGUAGGCGGCUUGUCGCGUCGACUGUGAAAACCCGCGGCUUAACUGUGGGACUGCAGUCGAUACGGGCUAGCUAGAGUUCGGUAGGGGAGACUGGAAUUCCUGGUGUAGCGGUGAAAUGCGCAGAUAUCAGGAGGAACACCAGUGGCGAAGGCGGGUCUCUGGGCCGAUACUGACGCUGAGGAGCGAAAGCGUGGGGAGCGAACAGG
rnacentral:rRNA from 1 species